AGAAAAGAAUACAGUAAAGGCGACUCAAGAGAUGCAGCAAGGAAUGCUGGAUCAGUAGUUGCCGUGGAAGGAUUGACUGCAGUAUUACAGGGUCCAGCAGCUAGCCUUCUACCAGUCUAUGCUAUUGCUGCGGGAAAGUCAUAUAGCUGUAUACUUCAGUUUUGCCAUUUCUCUGGGUGCAACUCUAUGGAACUGCUAUGUAUUUCAUAACUUCCUAACGAUUAUGCUGCAAGUCCAUAUUACUAACUCCUCUUGGGUUGUUACAUCACUUAUCAGUAUCCAUUGUUGGAAGAAGAUUUGUACAGCAUUCAAGUGGAAGGCCAGAAAAGACCAAAAGUCACUGAGAGUUGCGAUUUCCAAAAGCUUAUGCUCUAUUCUGUUGAGUGGCUUGUAAUUAGUUGCUUGGUUGGAUAGAAGGGAAUUGGAAAGAAGUGAAAGGAGCAGUAGUGGAGAAAGUAAAAAAGAAGAAAUGCAUCGGCUGCCCUUUCUUCGGUUUUGUUUGGUAAAUGGUAUGUAACUGACAGAGAGAAGAGAGGAUCGUAGUCUCACCUCCUUGCCAUAUAAAGUGGGGGGGGGGGGGGGGGAUAUAAAUUU